GAGGAUUAUAGCUGUGUUGAGUAACCCAGAAUAAGUUGUUACAUUUCUCCAAGCUUAUUUACUAAUUUAUAAAAUGACCCUCUGCCUUCCUUUCUCUGCAGGUGAGCCACAAAUAUCAUUUUCCACAUGAAGAUGCCUCUGUCCCAGAGCUGAACAAGUACCUGGAGCCAGAAGACUCUGAAGAGAUGGUUUUGAAAAAGAAGGUUCGUCUCCUUUCCCCUUGUCCACUUUUGGGUUCUUUGGACAUGGAAAUGUUUGCCAAGAGAAAAGAUGGCUGGUGGAGACCCCGGGAGAUACUUGCAUAUGUAUGUGAAAUGAUGAUGGCCUUUCAGCUCAAUGUAAAGGAGACAUUUCUUUACAGCAAUUCUGAUCCAGGUUUGCCUCUGAUUUUCAGUAUCACAGGCCAGGGAUCUGUUUUAUUUACCAUUGCAUCCCUGGUGCCCAGGAUAGAGCUUCUCAGCACUAGUGGACCAUCCACUCCCUCCACGAACACUUCUUAA
ensembl:lncRNA